UACCCUGAAAGCACACUAAAAGAAAACCUUAGGACUUGUUCUGUGAAAUGCAUGCAACUUAUUUUGUCUGAUUUUUUCUGUUUUUGUUGAGCAGGGGGGUUAAAAAUGCAUAGGUGCACUGAAAAUGGAUGUGUAAACAACCCAAUAUCCCCCUUAUUUCAGGUGUCAAAUACCCCCUAGUAGUAAUUGAUGAAUGUCUUAUAGUUGGAUAUUUACAAAAUUCACAAUUUUAUCUUUCCAUUGAUAUGCAGAAGUCUAUGUAACAAGCCUCCAUUUUAUUUUUUUAUAGGGGUCAGUUUUGCAUGUCCCUCACCAAGUAACGUCCUGAUAACGUCAUACAUAAAACUGUGUUUUGCACCCUUAAGGAGUAGCAUUUGAUGACAUUUCCCACAUUUAUUUGCCUGGGUCAGUUUUGCAUGUCCCUCACCAAGUAACGUCCUGAUAACGUCAUACAUAACUGUGUUUUGCACCCUUAAGGAGUAGCAUUUGAUGACAUUUCCCACAUUUAUUUGCCUGGGUCAGUUUUGCAUGUCCCUCACCAAGUAACGUCCUGAUAACGUCAUACAUAAAACUGUGUUUUGCACCCUUAAGGAGUAGCAUUUGAUGACAUUUCCCACAUUUAUUUGCCUGGGUCAGUUUUGCAUGUCCCUCACCAAGUAACGUCCUGAUAACGUCAUACAUAAAACUGUGUUUUGCACCCUUAAGGAGUAGCAUUUGAUGACAUUUCCCACAUUUAUUUGCCUGUAAGUUCAUAGAAAAUUGCUUUAUUUCUUUUAAAUUAUGUAGUAAACCAUACAAUAUAAUCUCAGGUUGACACUGUUUAAGGCAUAAUGCCUAUUAGAUACAUGUUCCAUAGAAUUUAUACAUAUGAUAAGGAUUUAGGGGCUAAAGUUGUUAUUUUACAUUAUGACGCAACAGCAUUGUGACAUCAAAGUGUGACGUCAUGUCAAAAAUGGAAGCUUCGCAAGGUCAUGACCUUCAAUAUAAUUGAUCGCAAAUGAGAAUAUGUAUCUUCUGUAUAGAUAUACAUGUGACAUAGACCUAUUGAGUAUCUAGUUAGGGUGACACCAUCCAGAUGUUUUAGGCAAUCUUCUGAUUUAAGACAGUGACUAUUUCCAAUUAGA